AUUGAACGCUGGCGGCAGGCCUAACACAUGCAAGUCGAGCGGAUGAAGGGAGCUUGCUCCUGGAUUCAGCGGCGGACGGGUGAGUAAUGCCUAGGAAUCUGCCUGGUAGUGGGGGAUAACGUCCGGAAACGGGCGCUAAUACCGCAUACGUCCUGAGGGAGAAAGUGGGGGAUCUUCGGACCUCACGCUAUCAGAUGAGCCUAGGUCGGAUUAGCUAGUUGGUGGGGUAAAGGCCUACCAAGGCGACGAUCCGUAACUGGUCUGAGGGGAUGAUCAGUCACACUGGAACUGAGACACGGUCCAGACUCCUACGGGAGGCAGCAGUGGGGAAUAUUGGACAAUGGGCGAAAGCCUGAUCCAGCCAUGCCGCGUGUGUGAAGAAGGUCUUCGGAUUGUAAAGCACUUUAAGUUGGGAGGAAGGGCAGUAAGUUAAUACCUUGCUGUUUUGACGUUACCAACAGGAUAAGCACCGGCUAACUUCGUG
rnacentral:rRNA from 1 species